rnacentral:rRNA from 1 species
GAUUGUUCACCCACCAAUAGGGAACGUGAGCUGGGUUUAGACCGUCGUGAGAUAGGUUAGUUUUACCCUACUAAUGACAGUGUCGCAAUAGUAAUUCAACCUAGUACAAGAGAAACUGUUGAUUUGCACAAUUGGUCAUCGCGCUUGGUUGAAAGGCCAAUGGUGCGAAGCUAUCGUGCGCUGGAUUAUGACUGAACGCCUCUAAGUUAGAAUCCGGGCUAGAAGUGACGCAUGCGUCCACCGUCCGCUUGCCAACCCGUAGUAGGGGUCGUCCGGCCCCUCGAGCCACCUUGAAGUACAAUUCCUAUCUCGAACGAAAGUAGAAUCCUUUACAGACGACUUAAAUACACGACAGGGUAUUGUAAAUUGCAAAGUGGCCUUGCUACCACAAUCCACUGAGAU